rnacentral:rRNA from 1 species
AGGACGAACGCUGGCGGCGUGCUUAACACAUGCAAGUCGAACGGAAAGGCCCGCUUGCGGGUACUCGAGUGGCGAACGGGUGAGUAACACGUGGGCAACCUGCCCUCAGCUUCGGGAUAACACUUGGAAACAGGUGCUAAUACCGGAUAAUAACCUUUCAUCGCAUGGUGUGGGGUUCAAAGUUUUUCGGCUGGGGAUGGGCCCGCGGCCUAUCAGCUUGUUGGUGGGGUAAUGGCCUACCAAGGCGACGACGGGUAGCCGGCCUGAGAGGGCGACCGGCCACACUGGGACUGAGACACGGCCCAGACUCCUACGGGAGGCAGCAGUGGGAAUAUUGCGCAAUGGGCGGAAGCCUGACGCAGCGACGCCGCGUGAGGGAUGGACGGCCUUCGGGUUGUAAACCUCUUUCAGCUCUGACGAAGCGCAAGUGACGGUAGAGCAGAGAAGCACCGGCCAACUACGCGCCAGCAGCCGC